UUCGCAUUCCCUUUUUCAUGAAAAACGGAAAAAAGAAGCAGCAAAAAAGCAGAAAUUCAAGGAAGAGGAGAUAUCGCAAAUCGAACCGAUGGAGAUAGAAUGAUCGAACGUAACGAAAGUGAUCGGAUGCAUCGCGUGUGAUAGCAUAUCGUUGCGUGUUUCGUGCGGUUCCGGUCACAUGGAUCACGAGGUAAUCGCUGCCCCUUCCUCUCCUGACCGCAGAGAUUCCUGCGACGGGUGGGGAUGUCAACCAUGAUUGGGAGAGAUGUAGAAAAGAGGAAGUGGUAGACAAUUCCUAGGAGGUGAAAGCGGACAAUGAGGAUGAGGAGGAAAAGCAGGAGGAAGAAAACAUUAUCUCAACAUCGAUGAUAAUCACGUAAGUGCUCUGCGCUCAAGAGCGACCACGACGAACGCGCUCGCUCGGCCGAGCGCGCACACUAACGCGUUGUGCAAACACACGUAUACACGCGCGUACACAUCACGGGGGUACUGCUCGCACCUAGAAGGGUAGAUCUGCCCGAAGGUGGUAAACGCGGGAGAAAGGCGCUCUGCGAGAUCUGAGAGGAUAGGGUGCUAACAUCGAGCUGCGGGAUAGAAGGAGGGGAGGAUGGCUGCGGUGGAAGCACUUUUGUCAAGAUAUAUCCAAGCCAAGAAACCGUGAACCAGCCAGUCAGCCAAGCAGCCCACGUAAUAUAAAGAGAUAUGUGCCGCGGAAUAGCAUUACCAUUAGGAGAUAUAGUUUAGCGGAGGAGGCGGCACAGAUGAAAUGAGAUACUGCGGCUGAAUCAUGCAUGAAGCAAAGAAGGUGCGAUUCGCACCGUUCUCCUUCUCGCUCGACCUGUACACCUUUAUCUAACGUUCUAUGUUCCAUGUCGCGAGAUGGAACAUCCAGUAUUUUUCUACGUCGGCGAAUCCAUUUUAGCGCAAGAGCUCGAAACUCAGCCGGGAGAAAUUCCGACGAGCGCGGGUCAAAGGGCAAAAAGUGUCUUCGAAGAAAGAAAUUCGGAAUCACGACGUGAAUGAAGUAGGCGGGAGGACCAGAUGGUGGUGGCCGCGACGACAGUAGUGGGAGCACUUAUGCAUUUAUGCAUUCAUAUUUCCGCAGUCUCCGUUUUCGAGACGAACCAUAAGACGACGACGACGAAGACGACGACGUCGUCGUCGUCGUAGGAGCGCUCGAACCAUAGCGAUAUUCCACGCCGUCGAAAAAGAGGAAAGGUAGGGAAGCAAAAGAGGUGGGCGGAAAGUUGCUCCGGAAUAAUAAUACACGCCGGCGCCCGCGCUAGCUCCGCUCUCGCAGGAAAAAAUCUGAAUACAUGAAACGUAAUGACAGAGUGUGUACGCCUCCGCUUUCGCCGGAGCGGUCGCCAGAUUCAGGAUAGCCGUAUCAGAAAGAGCAGAUGUCGUAGGAGCGCCGGUGAAGCCUUCGACUUCGUUACGAUACCGGUUUAUCUCGCAAAUUGCAGUUGCGAAAAACUCAAGAAAAAGAAAGAGAAAAGUUAUACCUUCCUACAUGUCAUAUUUAAUAUGCAAUAAUUCAAUAAGUAUAUUUAAUAAAAACCUUCAGCGUAAAAGCAAAAACUAAGAUGUUUCAAGUCAAAAUAGAAACGAUGAACAAGCAACAAAAAAAUAAAUCUUAUAUGGACUUAGACCUUGCAACAAAGUUCAUAAUAAGGAAGACACAAAUAAUAUCACUAUUGUUUUCUGAUGAAGCAAUCGCUGAAAUUAUUGUUGAACAUUAGAAUCCCUGACUCAAUGGUAACAAAAUUUGCUCGAUCUGCGAAUGUUAACGAUGGUGAUGACCAUCGAAAAACGAGGUUAUCGAGGACAAGCAGAAGGACGUUGGCGAGAGAAAACAGUCGGCGACGCUGAUGGCGUAAGGGUAGGAAGGUAGAUGGAUGAAAGGAAGGAAGGAAGGAAGGAAGGAAGGAAGGGCGCCGUCGUACCCGUGGCUCCGCCUAUCGGCGCGCCGGCUCGCGGUGGUGAAUACAUUUAGCCUGGUUAGUUUACAAAUGAAUACAGCGAUUGAAGCAACUUAUAAUAUCAAUGUACCUCCGACCGUCUCGCUCGCACGCCGUGCGCCACCCCUUGCUAGCAUCUCGCUUCCACCCACUCUCUCGCGGGGUUCCAUACAGAAUGGCCAUAUUAACUUGAUAAUUAGCUCGGUUAUACGACUUGCAGAUGAGGAAAGACUCGGGACGGACGUCGGCUACCCCUACCAGGAGUGGUGCCAGUGUUCCUUGCUCUGCUCCCUAUGCUAUGCUCGACUCGGCCCGGCUCCUCGUCGCUCGUCGGAUGGAUAUAGAACCCUUAGUUCGUAUUCCUCUCCCUAUCUGCUAGGAACCUCGUCGUGGUUCGUCUCGCAGCCGGUAAAUCCGACGACGACGACGACGUUGACGUCAACGUCGUCGUCGUCCUCGCGCUCGUGCUCUCGACGAGACGUGUUUUUUGGAGUAACGGUCUCUCAGUGAAUUUCCAAAGUGCCUAUCCUCACCUCCUCGCAAGUGACACAGGUUAAUCUAGGUGAUCACGUGCUCUAGCAUGCGAUCAUGACCACGUGCUACACGAGGUUUCCUCAUGAGGAUUGAACAAAUGAUGAGAAUCAACGUUCGCCGUUUCUUAUCAGUGACGUCCUAUCAGACUAUAUCGUGAUAACGAUAAAGAGGAGAGAUAGCAGCCAUGAAACGGGGAAAAGCCGAAAGACGAUAAUCAGCAGGGAACUGCAAAUAUUCUUAACUUCAGAAGAAUAUUCUUAACUUCGAGAAACGAAUUUAUUCUUCGCGCAACUUCUGUUCCAUGAUAUAGUUUAGCGAAAUAUCUCGCGCUCGAGCAAGAAAUAAAUGUUUCAACUCACUGAGAGCUCUUAUCUUUCAACAAAAAACCCAUGAUCCUUAAGCGAUAACUACGGCGGACUCGACUAAUCCGCCAAUCAAUUAAUUGGACUACGUACUUCCGCGCGUUGAUGAAAAAUACUACCAAAAACAAGUCAGCUUCGGAACAUUAAUCAAGAAGAGAAUAAAAAGGUAAUAUUAAUGCCAGGUCGGCAAUGGUGGUCGACAUCAAAGAACAUCCCCUUCCUUCCUCACUUCUACAGCGGCGUAUUUAGAAAAUUUGUAAACGCUUGGAUAAAUUCCAUUUUAUUCUUAGCUAAUUUCAAAAAUUUUUCAGAUUUUUAUAUUAUCUCUUACGUAUUAUUAGCACAUAGUAAAAAUACUAGUAUGUUAUGCAAAAUAUUAGUAGAAAUAUCAAUAUAAUAUAUUUUGCAGAUGUCACAACACAAAAUUUUAGUUUUUAAAUUUUUUCUAAAUAAAUAUGUUCUUUCAUUACAAUUCUAUAUUAUAAUAAUAUAUCUGUAUAUAGCAUAAAAAAUUGAUAUGUAUGUAAAUAAAAUUCAUGUUUUAAGGG